CCUACGGGUGGCAGCAGUAGGGAAUCUUCCGCAAUGGGCGAAAGUCUGAUGGAGCAACGCCGCGUGAGUGAUGAAGGUUUUCGGCUCGUAAACCUCUGUUGGCAGGGAAGAAAGGUAGAGGUGGUAAUUAGCCUUGAUUUGACGGUAAUUGCUUAGAAAGUCACGGCUAACUACGUGCCAGCAGCCGCGGUAAUACGGAGGGUGCAAGCGUUGACCGGAUUUAUUGGGCGUAAAGCGAGUGCAGGCGGUUCAAUAAGUCUAAUGUGAAAGCCUUCGGCUCAACGGGGGAAUUGCAUUAGAAACUGUUGAACUUGAGUGUAGAAGAGGAGAGUGGAACUCCAGGUGUAGGAGUGGAAUGCGUAGAUAUAUGGAAGAACACCAGUGGCGAAGGCGACUAUCUGGCAUGUAACUGACGCUGAGGAGCGAAAGCAUGGGUAGCGAACAGGAUUAGAUACCCUGGUAGUC
rnacentral:rRNA from 1 species